rnacentral:rRNA from 1 species
CCUACGGGGGGCAGCAGUGGGGGAUAUUGCACAAUGGGGGAAACCCUGAUGCAGCGACGCCGCGUGGGUGAAGAAGCGCCUCGGCGCGUAAAGCCCUGUCAGCAGGGAAGAAAAUGACGGUACCUGAAGAAGAAGCCCCGGCUAACUACGUGCCAGCAGCCGCGGGAAUACGUAGGGGGCAAGCGUUAUCCGGAUUUACUGGGUGUAAAGGGGGCGCAGACGGCGAUGCAAGCCAGGAGUGAAAGCCCGGGGCCCAACCCCGGGACUGCUCUUGGAACUGCGUGGCUAGAGUGCAGGAGGGGCAGGCGGAAUUCCUGGUGUAGCGGUGAAAUGCGUAGAUAUUAGGAGGAACACCAGUGGCGAAGGCGGCUUACUGGACUGUAACUGACGUUGAGGCUCGAAGGCGUGGGGAGCAAACAGGAUUAGAUACCCGGGUAGUC